rnacentral:rRNA from 1 species
AUGCUGGAUGAUGACGACGACGAUGAUGAUGAUGAUGAGGUGAAUUUUGAGGACGAGGACGAUGAUGAGUUUAAUCCGGCUGAAAUUGUGUGUGAUCCCGCUCAUAGGCAACAAAUUGCUGAUUCUCAUCCGAAUAUUCAAGAUCAGGUGAGAAGAGCAUACAUAUUGAAGGGUCCAACCCGACCAACUGUCAAAUUUGAUCGCAAAAAAAUUGGUAGCAAGAACCGUGCAUUUUCUAAAAAUUGGUAUAAGAAUUAUGAUUGGUUAGAAUAUAGUGUGUCCGAGCAAGCUGCAUUUUGUUUCUAUUGCUUUCUUUUGGAUUGGAAGCAUGCAUAUCAGGCAUUGCCUGCUCAUGUUGGUGGGGUAAAUAGUGCGCACAACAAGGCAAGAUUGCAUUAUGAUGAUUUUCGUAAUCAAAGGCAAAGCGUGUCUAGUAACUUUGCUAGGUCAACCGAGGAGUCUGAAGUACUCUACAAAAUUCGGUUGCACACUUCUCUAGGUUGUGCAAGAUAUCUCAUUGCUCAAGAAUUGGCUUUUCGUGGCCAUGAUGAAAGUUCAACUUCACUGAACAAGGGUAACUUCCGUGAGAUGGUAGAUUGGCAUAAAGCUAGAGAUGAGAAAGUGAGGCAUGCUUUUGACCAUGGUAGUAGAAACUGCAAGAUGCUUGCUGCUGAAAUUCAAAAAGAUCUUGCAAAGUGUUGCGCAGAAGAGGUCACCAAAGCAAUCAUGAGAGAAAUUGGUGAUAAGAAAUUCUCUGUGCUUAUCGAUGAGUCACGUGAUAUAUCUGUCAAAGAGCAAAUGGCGGUGAUGUUGAGGUAUGUCAAUGAUAAAGGGAAGGCCAUGGAAUGAUUUCUCUCUCUGUACCAUGUCAGUGAGACUACAUCAGAGGCACUAAAGGUAGCUCUUGUUGACAUUCUUGAUCAUCAUAAGUUAUCCAUUCAUAGUCUACGAGGGCAAGGAUAUGAUGGAGCUUCAAAUAUGAGAGGUGAAUUUAAUCGUUUGCAAAAGAAAAUUCUUGACGAGAACCCUUAUGCCUUUUAUGUGCAUUGCUUUGCACAUCAUUUACAAUUGGUGGUUGUCUCGGUCGCUCGUUGUUGCUCCUCUUUCAUGAUUUGUUUGAUCAUAUAUGUGCUUCGUGAGGUCAAUGAUGAAGGGCGCGGACCGUCUCAAGUGGCGGGUUUGAUAGAGAUAAUGGAGUUUAAAUUUGCUUUCGUAUUGCAUCUUAUGAUAAAGUUGCUUGCUAUCACAAAUGAACUCUCACAAGUCUUGCAGAGAAAAGAUAUAAACAUUGUUAAUGCCAUUGAACUAGUUGGUGAUGUCAAAGCUCGGUUGGCCUCUAUGAGAGAAAGUGGUUGGGAAAGCUUGUUCGAUGAAGUCCAACACUUUUGUGUCACCAAAGGUAUUCCGGUGCCCGAUAUGAAUGAAAGAAUACCGGUCCGAGGUCAUUCAAGGCUUGAUGGUGUGACUUACACCAAUCUUCAUUUCUAUCGAGUUGAGAUCUUCUAUGUUGCCAUUGACAAGAUAUGCACUGAGAUGAAUCAUCGCUUUUAUGAAGCAUCUUCAAAUAUAAUAGUGGCCUUCUCAUGCCUUCAUCCAAAAAAUUCCUUCUCCAAGUUUGAUGUUGACAAGCUUGCUAGCUUAACUGAAGUUUAUCAUGGAGAUUUCUCUAGUGGUAAUCGUGCAAUCAUAAGAGACGAACUUCAGACUUUUCUUCUUGUAAAGAUAUUGAAAGUUUAG